GACCUUCUAUAAGGUGAUUGGCUCCGGUUCCUCCUCCCCUCACCACCACCUGUCCGCUCCAACUCCUCCCUCCUAGUCCUCCUCCACAACACCAACCCAAUGGCAAGGUUCUAGAAGCAAAGAAACGCGGCCUCGAGCUUAACUCCUCCACUGCUUCGACUCCAAUUGCUCAACGCCUUCUCCAACGCAAGCUUCUAGCUAGGUACGUAGCUGCCGCUCGGUGUGCGUGCGCGCCCAUGGCGCUGCUCUCCGCCACCUCCCCCGCCAAGGCGCACUUCUCGGCGCUCUUCCUCUGCCACGACGAGCCGCAGCACGGCCAGCACCAGCACGCGCUCUCGGCCCCGCACCCGCAGUGCUUCGGCGGCAAGGCUAGGCAGCGGGCGCGCGGCAGGUGCGCGGCGGCAAUGCGGCCGCCGGACGCGCCCGCGGUCGCGCAGACGGCGCCAGCGCCGGCGCCCGCGGGGGGUGAGGUGGGGAGGAAGCCGCGGGUGCUGGUGGCGGGCGGCGGCAUCGGCGGGCUGGUGUUCGCGCUGGCGGCGAGGCGGAAGGGGUACGAGGUGACGGUGUUCGAGCGUGACAUGAGCGCGGUGCGCGGGGAGGGACAGUACCGCGGGCCCAUCCAGAUCCAGAGCAACGCGCUCGCCGCGCUGGAGGCCAUCGACUUGGCCGUCGCCGAGGAUGUCAUGCGCGCCGGCUGCGUCACCGGGGACAGGAUCAACGGCCUCGUCGACGGCAUCUCCGGCUCCUGGUACAUCAAGUUUGAUACGUUUACUCCUGCAGCUGAGCGAGGGCUCCCAGUCACAAGGGUCAUUAGCCGCAUGACGCUGCAGCAGAUUCUUGCCCGUGCGGUUGGUGAUGAUGCCAUAUUGAAUGAAAGCCACGUUGUCGAUUUUAUAGAUGAUGGCAACAAGGUUACUGCCAUAUUGGAGGAUGGUCGAAGAUUUGAAGGUGAUCUUUUGGUUGGUGCCGAUGGAAUACGGUCAAAGGUGAGGAAGACACUAUUCGGGUAUACAGAAGCCACGUAUUCAGGUUACACUUGCUACACUGGAAUUGCAGACUUUGUGCCUCCUGAUAUUGACACAGUUGGGUACCGAGUAUUUCUUGGUCACAAACAAUACUUCGUCUCGUCAGAUGUCGGCGCUGGUAAAAUGCAAUGGUAUGCUUUUCACAAAGAAGCUGCUGGUGGCGCCGACCCUGAAAAUGGCAAAAAGAAAAGAUUGCUUGAGAUAUUCAGCGGUUGGUGCGAUAAUGUCGUAGAUCUGAUAAAUGCAACUGAAGAGGACGCGAUUCUUCGCCGGGAUAUAUAUGACCGCCCACCUACUAUGAAUUGGGGAAAAGGUCGUGUCACCUUGCUUGGUGAUUCUGUCCAUGCUAUGCAGCCAAAUCUGGGUCAAGGUGGCUGCAUGGCUAUUGAGGAUGGCUACCAGCUGGCUAUAGAACUUGAGAAUGCCUGGCAGGAGAGUGUCAAGUCUGGAACUCCUAUGGACAUAGUUUCCUCCUUGAAGCGUUAUGAGAAGGAGAGAAGGCUGCGUGUUGCUAUUAUACAUGGAUUGGCAAGAAUGGCAGCCAUCAUGGCUACCACUUAUAGACCAUAUUUGGGUGUUGGUCUGGGACCUUUGUCAUUUUUGACGAAGUUGAGGAUACCACACCCUGGAAGAGUUGGCGGGCGAUUCUUCAUCAAGUACGGAAUGCCUAUGAUGCUGAGCUGGGUGCUAGGUGGAAACAGCUCAAAGCUAGAAGGAAGACCUUUAAGCUGCCGACUAUCUGACAAGGCAAACGACCAGCUUCAUCGAUGGUUUGAGGAUGACGAUGCGUUGGAAGAAGCUAUGGGUGGAGAAUGGUACCUCUUCCCCGCAAGCUCAGGAAACAGCAACUUGCAUCCCAUUUGUUUAAUCAGGGGCGAACAGAGGACACUCUCUGUUGGAAGCAGAUCAGAUCCCAGUGACUCUGCUUCUUCCCUGGCAUUGCCCUUGCCACAGAUAUCAGAAACCCAUGCUACUAUCACGUGCAAAAAUAAGGCUUUCUAUCUGACUGAUCUCGGAAGCGAACACGGUACCUGGAUUACCGACAACGAAGGUAGACGUUACCGCGUGCCUCCAAACUUCCCAGUUCGUUUCCACCCCUCCGAUGUCAUUGAGUUCGGUUCUGAUAAGAAGGCCAUGUUCCGGUUGAAGGUGCUGAACACGCUCCCAUACGAAUCCACAAGAAGAGGGGGACAGCAGCAAGUCCUUCAAGCAGCAUGAAUGGAGACAUCAACCACGACUCCAGUCAUCAGCCACAGUACUGUACAGCAUUCGAUCCCGAACCAGAUUUUGAGUACUUGCGUCUAACGAAUUGGAAUUUCAUUUCAGUUCUACGAAAAGAGCUGAGUUGUACAAUUGGAAUAGGCAAUUUAGCUGUUGCCGGCUGUGUACAUUGUUGUACCAUCAAAGAAAAUACUGCACAUCAAGAAAGCAGAUUGUAAUUACGGCACGGACACUGUAACACAAUGAUCAUGUAAUAUACGGAUGUUAUAGUACUUAGCAUCGAGUCAUAUAAGAUAUAUCAGUGUCCUUUGUCGAGCACUAUCUCUUUGAAACACGGGAAUUUCCUUUGACUCA